UACGUAGGGGGCAAGCGUUGUCCGGAUUUAUUGGGCGUAAAGAGCGUGUAGGCGGCCACACAGGUCCGUUGUGAAAACUGGAGGCUUAACCUCCAGACGUCGAUGGAAACCGUAUGGCUAGAGUCCGGAAGAGGAGAGUGGAGUUCCUGGUGUAGCGGUGAAAUGCGCAGAUAUCAGGAAGAACACCCGUGGCGAAGGCGGCUCUCUGGGACGGUACUGACGCUGAGACGCGAAAGCGUGGGGAGCGAACAGG
rnacentral:rRNA from 1 species